rnacentral:rRNA from 1 species
UGAGUACGAGACGCUAAGGCGUCGAAGUAGUGGAUGUCAUACUUCCAAGAAAAGCUUGCACUGUCAUAAAUAAAGGACGCCUGUACCAUAACCGACACAGGUGGGUAGGUAGAGUAUACUAAGGGGCGCGAGAUAACUCUCUCUAAGGAACUCGGCAAAAUAACUCCGUAACUUCGGGAGAAGGAGUGCCUAUUCGUAAGGCUGCAAUAACAAGAUCCAAGCAACUGUUUAUCAAAAACACAGGUCUCCGCUAAGUCGUAAGACGAUGUAUGGGGGCUGACGCCUGCCCAGUGCCAGAAGGUUAAAGAAGUCGGUUAGCAUUAGCGAAGCUGGUAACUGAAGCCCUGGUGAACGGCGGCCGUAACAAUAACGGUCCUAAGGUAGCGAAAUUCCCUGUCGGGUAAGUUCCGACCCGCACGAAAGGCGUAAUGAUUUGGAUACUGUCUCGGAGAGGGGCUCGGUGAAAUAGACUUGUCUGUGAAGAUGCGGACUACCUGCACCAGGACAGAAAGACCCUAUGAAGCUUUACUGUAACUUGAAAUUGAAAUUGGACUUUAUUCGCGCAGUAUAGGUGGGAGGUGUUGAUUAUAAUCUUGCGGGAUUAUUGGAGCCAUCAGUGAGAUACCACUCUUGUAAUGUUAGAUUUCUAACUUUGAAUCAUUAUCUGGUCAAAGAACAGUUUCAGGCGGGCAGUUUGACUGGGGCGGUCGCCUCCUAAAUGGUAACGGAGGCGUACAAAGGUUUCCUCUGAACGGGUAGAAAUCGUAUCUAGAGUGUAAAGGCAUAAGGAAGCUUGGCUGUGAGACCUACAAGUCGAGCAGGGACGAAAGUCGGUCUUAGUGAUCUGACGGUACUGAGUGGAAAGGCCGUCACUCAACGGAUAAAAGUUACUCUAAGGAUAACAGGCUGAUCUCCCCCAAGAGUUCACAUCGACGGGGAGGUUUGGCACCUCGAUGUCGGCUCAUCGCAUCCUGGGGCGGUAGUACGUCCCAAGGGUUGGGCUGUUCGCCCAUGAAAGCGGUACGCGAGCUGGGUUCAGAACGUCGUGAGACAGUUCGGUCCAUAUCCGGUGUAGGCGUUAGAAUAUUGAGAGGAGCCUUCUUUAGUACGAGAGGACCGAGAAGGACAUACCUCUGGUGUACCAGUUAUCGUGCCAACGGUAAACGCUGGGUAGCUAUGUAUGGAGUGGAUAACCGCUGAAAGCAUCUAAGUGGGAAGCCCACCUCAAGAUAAG